ACACGACUACAUUAGAUACCCGGGUAGUCCCAGCCCUAAACGAUGCGCGUUAGGUGUAUCGGUGACCACGAGUCACCGAGGUGCCGAAGGGAAACCGUGAAACGUGCCGCCUGGGAAGUACGGUCGCAAGGUUGAAACUUAAAGGAAUUGGCGGGGGAGCACCACAACGGGUGGAGCCUGCGGUUUAAUUGGACUCAACGCCGGGAAGCUCACCGGAUAAGACAGCGGAAUGAUUGCCGGGCUGAAGACCCUGCAUGACCAGCUG
rnacentral:rRNA from 1 species